rnacentral:rRNA from 1 species
CACCGCGGUUAUACGAGUGAGCCCAAGUUGAUAAAAUCGGCGUAAAGGGUGGUUAAGAAAAUUACUAAGUAAAGCCGAAAGUUUUAGAAGCUGUUAAAUGCUUACAAAAAUAAGAAGUCCAAAUACGAAAGUAGCUUUAUAACUUCUGACCCCACGAAAGCUAGGGCA